AUUCUACUCCCUCCGUUGCACAAUACAUGCCUUCUAUUUGUCAAAAUAUAUAUGUAUCUAGACAUGUUUUAGUAUAUAGGUACAUCCAUUUUUGGACAAAUGGAAGUCAAGUAUUUUGAAACGGAGGGAGUACACA
rnacentral:pre_miRNA from 1 species